rnacentral:rRNA from 1 species
GACGAACGCUGGCGGCGUGCCUAAUACAUGCAAGUAGAACGCACAGUUUAUACCGUAGCUUGCUACACCAUAAACUGUGAGUUGCGAACGGGUGAGUAACGCGUAGGUAACCUGCCUGGUAGCGGGGGAUAACUAUUGGAAACGAUAGCUAAUACCGCAUAAUAUUAAUUAUUGCAUGAUAAUUGAUUGAAAGAUGCAAUUGCAUCACUACCAGAUGGACCUGCGUUGUAUUAGCUAGUAGGUGAGGUAACGGCUCACCUAGGCGACGAUACAUAGCCGACCUGAGAGGGUGAUCGGCCACACUGGGACUGAGACACGGCCCAGACUCCUACGGGAGGCAGCAGUAGGGAAUCUUCGGCAAUGGACGAAAGUCUGACCGAGCAACGCCGCGUGAGUGAAGAAGGGUUUCGGAUCGUAAAGCUCUGUUGUAAGAGAAGAACGGGUGUGAGAGUGGAAAGUUCACACUGUGACGGUAUCUUAACAGAAAGGGACGGCUAACUACGUG